rnacentral:lncRNA from 1 species
GGCUUUGUAAUAACAUGAGCCGGGUGCUACAUGUGGAGCAGGAUCUGUUUACCCUUCCUGAACACCUGAGAACACCCCAGGUUUUGGAGGGGUUCGUGUUGCUUAUUCUUUAGUUGUCUAGUGUCUUGUGUACUAUUAUUUGUCUGUUUGUCUUUUUAUUUCCUAGCCAUGGCGUUGUCAGUUUAUUUUCGAUCUAUGAGUUUGACUGUCCUUCUGGUAUCUUUCGUUCCUCUUUUAUCGUAAUUGCAAAAUAAUCUGUAAGACAUGAAUUAACUUUUUACUGAAAUUGCCUAUUGUCUAGUUGCAAGUAUUUCAAGCAAGUACUUCAGGCUCAUUUGGAAC